GAGAUAAUGGCAGAAUGGUUUUGCAUCUAGCUGUAGUCUAGAAGGUCUUAGUACCCAAUGGGAGUUCGACUCUCUCUUAUCUCA